rnacentral:lncRNA from 1 species
GUCAGGUCUGUUCUUCAUUUUCUGGGUUACCCAGAAAUGAAGAACAGAUCAUGAGUGAUACUUUGAGCCUUCACUACAUGCUAAUCGUCCAAUGUUUUAAGGAUCUAACGAUUCCAGGUUAUACCCAACAUGUAACUAAAUAGAUCUAUCACAAAAUAGUACUAAAACAACAACAAACAAAGCAGAUCAUGCUCGGUCAAAGUUGUCAGAAAACUGUUCUUAAAGAUUUUCUGGAAAAUUACCAGAAACAUAAAUCAAUGUCGAGUGGCCUAGUUUGACCACUUUUCACGGUUGAUCUGUUGAUGUUUGUAGACAUAUACAGAUCCCGAUUUGUAGAAUACUAUACAAGCUACACGUAUGAUACAAUAAAAUUAACAAAACACAUAAAACCUGAUAGAUCUAGAUAAUACAAAUAUUGUCAGACGCCACCAAAAGCUUUCUGGGUUUACCCAGAUUAUCCUCGGUCAUGGUCGGUCAACCGACUUUGACCACGAUUAUCUUACAACUUAUGCAUGAUCUGGUUCGACUACAAGUUCUAGAACACAGAUCUCACAUCAUACAACAAAAUCAAAUACUUAAACAACAAAAACACAUAACAACCACAGAUCUACAGCUUCUGACAUUCGAUGUCAGAACACAAAAUGAAAGUUUUCCAGAUUUUUAAAAACAUCAAAUCCGAGCCUCUAGAUGUUAUGGAUCUAACAUCUAGCAACCCAGAUCAUCUCUAGACAACAUAAACAAUAUAUUUUAACACUUAAACACAACAUCUAACAAAAAAUUUUGGACAGAAAUUCAAGGUAGGGUUUAUACCUUAAAUGAGCAAUUUCUGAUUUUGUGUUGCUGUUUUGUUGUUGGAUUUCGUGGGGCUGUUCUUAGGGACUGAAAUGCUUAGAUAAUUUCGUUGGUUUGAGAGAAAAUGAGAGUUGGUUAUGUAUUGUAUAAAAUUGGCUAACAAAAUCAUUUCUCUCUCUCUCUCAAUCCUUUAAAUAGACAAAUUGGAUGCAUGUAUGCUGAACUAGAGAGGUUUGCUGGCAAAAUAGGCAUGUGGAGUGGUUAGUGUUUGGUGAACAACCUCACCAAUUUGUCAAAACCUAUAACUAGCUUCUUAAAUGCUAAAAAGGGCAAAAUGGUCAUUUCCUUAAAUUUCUAGAAAAGUGCCUUAGGGUUUAGGGUUUAGACAUUUUAGUGUUUAGGGUUUGAGCAAAUUUGGGUUUUAUAAGUAAACAAAAAUCUAGGAUUUCCAAUUUAGGGUUUGCACAUUAAAUAAAUAACAUUAAAUAAAUAAAAUUAAAUAACUUUUAGUUUCUAAAAUUUUGAAAAAUAAAUAUUGUUAAUUAAUUAAGUUUGUAAUUACAUGAACAUUAGGGUUUAUUACCCUUAAUCAUAAUGAACUUUGCUAAUAAAGCAAUUAGGGUUUAAAAUAUC